rnacentral:ribozyme from 12 species
AAAGACGAGAGGGAAGAGCAGAGAAAACAUGAGAAGAAGGAGAAGGAGAGGUCGUUUUAAUAUUUGCUUUCUGCUUCAUUUCCCGUCCUUCUUUCCACCUUUCUUUCGGCGUUUCUCUCUCUUUCU